GGGAGAAGAAGAAGAUGGGACAAAAGGGCUAUUUUUAAUCUGGUGGCUUGGCGUUGGAAGAUUGGAUCCUCGCAGAGAAUGCUGAUUGCAUUUCCACCAAGCUCUGGAUCACAUGAUUCUCUGGGGGAGGUGGGUAGGACCUCUAGGGAAGCUUCUCUAUGGAGGUGAAAUUCUAGCUGAGACCUGCAUGAUGAGAAGAAAAGGAACCUGGAAGUUGAAUUUAAGGCAGAAAGAAGAACAAGGAUAAGAUCCAUGAGCUGGGAACCGUCUUGCUAUAUUUGAGUAGCAGAAAGAAGUGAGCAAACCUUUCCCAGAAGCUCUACAGCAGAAUUUCCAUCGUAUUUCAAUGACCAGAGCAGAGUCACGUGCUUGUGCUUUGAAGAUUGCUUGGCUUAGAGAAGUCAAGAUUCAUGGGUUGGGAAGGCACCCGAAGUUCACUGGCUUCAUGGAGGAUAGUGAAGAAGAUGCCAGCUCUCUUAGUAAGGAAGGAAGGCACCCAUACUUCACUGGCUGCAUGGAGGAUAGUGAAGAAGAUGCCGGCUCUUUUA